CCUACGGGAGGCAGCAGUGGGGAAUCUUGGACAAUGGGCGCAAGCCUGAUCCAGCCAUGCCGCGUGUGUGAUGAAGGCCUUAGGGUCGUAAAGCWCUUUCGCCAGAGAUGAUAAUGACAGUAUCUGGUAAAGAAACCCCGGCUAACUCCGUGCCAGCAGCCGCGGUAAUACGGAGGGGGUUAGCGUUGUUCGGAAUUACUGGGCGUAAAGCGCACGUAGGCGGAUUAGUCAGUCAGAGGUGAAAUCCCAGGGCUCAACCCUGGAACUGCCUUUGAUACUGCUAGUCUUGAGUUCGAGAGAGGUGAGUGGAAUUCCGAGUGUAGAGGUGAAAUUCGUAGAUAUUCGGAGGAACACCAGUGGCGAAGGCGGCUCACUGGCUCGAUACUGACGCUGAGGUGCGAAAGUGUGGGGAGCAAACAGGAUUAGAUACCCUGGUAGUCCACACCGUAAACRAUGAAUGCCAGUCGUCGGGUAGUAUACUAUUCGGUGACACACCUAACGGAUUAAGCAUUCCGCCUGGGGAGUACGGUCGCAAGAUUAAAACUCAAAGGAAUUGACGG
rnacentral:rRNA from 1 species